rnacentral:misc_RNA from 1 species
AAAGUCGUAACAAGGUUUCCGUAGGUGAACCUGCGGAAGGAUCAUUACCGUGGGGCUCCGGCCCCAUCGAGAUAGCACCCUUGCCUUUCGAGUACCGCCCGUUUCCUCGGCAGGCCCGCCUGCCAAUGGGGACCCCAAACCCUUGCAAUCGCAGCAAUCGUCUGAAAACAAACAAAACAAUCAAAACUUUCAACAACGGAUCUCUUGGUUCUG